rnacentral:tRNA from 1 species
GUCCCCGUAGUUUAAUGGAUAGAACAUGAGCUUCCGGAGCUUAAAAUGCGGGUUCGAUUCCUGCCGGGGACG